CCUACGGGAGGCAGCAGUGGGGAAUAUUGGACAAUGGGCGCAAGCCUGAUCCAGCAAUGCCGCGUGUGUGAAGAAGGCCUUCGGGUUGUAAAGCACUUUUAUCAGGAGCGAAACGCUGUCGGCUAAUACCCGGCGGAACUGACGGUACCUGAGGAAUAAGCACCGGCUAACUUCGUGCCAGCAGCCGCGGUAAUACGAAGGGUGCAAGCGUUAAUCGGAAUUACUGGGCGUAAAGCGUGCGUAGGCGGUUUUUUAAGUCUGCUGUGAAAUCCCCGGGCUCAACCUGGGAAUGGCAGUGGAUACUGGAAAGCUAGAGUGUGAUAGAGGAUGGUGGAAUUCCCGGUGUAGCGGUGAAAUGCGUAGAGAUCGGGAGGAACAUCAGUGGCGAAGGCGGCCAUCUGGAUCAACACUGACGCUGAGGCACGAAAGCGUGGGGAGCAAACAGGAUUAGAUACCCUGGUAGUCCACGCCCUAAACGAUGCGAACUGGAUGUUGGUCUCAACUCGGAGAUCAGUGUCGAAGCUAACGCGUUAAGUUCGCCGCCUGGGGAGUACGGUCGCAAGACUGAAACUCAAAGGAAUUGACGG
rnacentral:rRNA from 1 species